rnacentral:rRNA from 1 species
UUUAAUAAGUCAAAACUUUCAACAACGGAUCUCUUGGUUCUGGCAUCGAUGAAGAACGCAGCGAAAUGCGAUAAGUAAUGUGAAUUGCAGAAUUCAGUGAAUCAUCGAAUCUUUGAACGCACAUUGCGCCCAUUAGUAUUCUAGUGGGCAUGCCUGUUCGAGCGUCAUUUCAACCCCUAAGCACAGCUUAUUGUUGGGCGUCUACUCCGGUAGUGCCUCAAAGACAUUGGCGGAGCGGCAGUAGUCCUCUGAGCGUAGUAAUUCUUUAUCUCGCUUUUGUCAGGUGCUGCCCCCCCGGCCGUAAAACCCCCCAAUUUUUUCUGGUUGACCUCGGAUCAGGUAGGAAUACCCGCUGAACUUAAGCAUAUCAAUAAGCGGAGGAAAAGAAACCAACAGGGAUUGCCCCAGUAACG